GACGAACGCUGGCGGCGUGCUUAACACAUGCAAGUCGAACGGAAAGGCCCUGCUUUUGUGGGGUGCUCGAGUGGCGAACGGGUGAGUAACACGUGAGUAACCUGCCCUUGACUUUGGGAUAACUUCAGGAAACUGGGGCUAAUACCGGAUAGGAGCUCCUGCUGCAUGGUGGGGGUUGGAAAGUUUCGGCGGUUGGGGAUGGACUCGCGGCUUAUCAGCUUGUUGGUGGGGUAGUGGCUUACCAAGGCUUUGACGGGUAGCCGGCCUGAGAGGGUGAUCGGCCACAUUGGGACUGAGAUACGGCCCAGACUCCUACGGGAGGCAGCAGUGGGGAAUAUUGCACAAUGGGCGGAAGCCUGAUGCUGCAACGCCGCGUGCGGGAUGACGGCCUUCGGGUUGUAAACCGCUUUCGCCUGUGACGAAGCGUGAGUGACGGUAAUGGGUAAAGAAGCACCGGCUAACUACGUG
rnacentral:rRNA from 1 species